rnacentral:piRNA from 1 species
UGGGUAAAAUUGGGAUAUCAAGACCCCC